rnacentral:rRNA from 1 species
GCUGUAGCGGCGAGUGAGCGGCAAAAGCUCAAAUUUGAAAUCUGGCUCUUUCAGAGUCCGAGUUGUAAUUUGAAGAAGGUAUCUUUGGGUCUGGCUCUUGUCUAUGUUUCUUGGAACAGAACGUCACAGAGGGUGAGAAUCCCGUGCGAUGAGAUGAUCCAGGCCUAUGUAAAGUUCCUUCGAAGAGUCGAGUUGUUUGGGAAUGCAGCUCUAAGUGGGUGGUAAAUUCCAUCUAAAGCUAAAUAUUGGCGAGAGACCGAUAGCGAACAAGUACAGUGAUGGAAAGAUGAAAAGAACUUUGAAAAGAGAGUGAAAAAGUACGUGAAAUUGUUGAAAGGGAAGGGCUUGAGAUCAGACUUGGUAUUUUGUAUGUUACUUCUUCGGGGGUGGCCUCUACAGUUUAUCGGGCCAGCAUCAGUUUGGGCGGUAGGAGAAUUGCGUUGGAAUGUGGCACGGCUUCGGUUGUGUGUUAUAGCCUUCGUCGAUACUGCCAGCCUAGACUGAGGACUGCGGUUUAUACCUAGGA